rnacentral:lncRNA from 1 species
CUCAGUGUGUGCCUGGGACCUGCGGAGGCCAGCAGAGGGCGUGAACUCCUUUGGAACUGGACUUAUAGGUGAAGUUUCACUUCUGGAGUGUACUAUCCUCCAUCGGCAACUUCUGUUUUCCAAAUCCUCGUUAAAGCUGGAGACGCUCCGACGCAAAGACUCGGUCCGUAAUCCAGCAUUCAAGCUCCCAUGUGGGUCCCGGGAGUCAAACCUGGGUCUUCAGCAAGAGCAGGAAGUGAGUGCUCUUAACCUCAGAGCCAUCUCUCCAGCCCAACUGUUUCUUUCCCUUUUCAGAGCUCCCUACUAGAUAUGGUGACAGUUUUGAGAAGGUAAGAAGCCUUUUGCACGUGGGACCUAGCUGGCAAUUAGAGAACAGGUGUGGGCCAUGAGGUUUACAGACUGGCCCCACUUCCUGACCUGAGCUGUCUCUUCCUUGAUCUGCCAGAAUGUAACAAGCCAAACUGCACACUCCUGCUGCCACAGCCAGGAGCUGCUCUAGACUCCGUGAGUGCCACCACGCCUUCCAUCAUGAUUUGAUGAAUUACCCCUGGAUAGUAAAUAUGAAAUUUGAACCUGCCAAACUUGUCUGCAGCAGAGGCAGCACCUUAUUCUCCUGCAUUGAUGGAUCGGGGUUCUAAGCUCACAUUCUCUCAACGAUUGUCUCUCAUAGUUACAGCCAGCCUAGUGAGCAGAAAGCUAUAUUCUGUUGCUGGCAGCCAAGGAUACCAUUGAAUCCUGACCCUCCAGACUCUAUCUCCCAAGUGCUAGAAUUACAGGGAUGAACCUCCAGGACCAGCUGUAAGAAAGUCUCUCCACCAUUUGUUUCAGACCCAAAGAAAUCAACCUGGGGAAUGGCGUGAGUCCUGCUCCUAAAGAGUUUGGUUUGUGAGCGCCAGUACUGUGUGGCUCACACGCUAACUCCAGCUCCAGGGCAUCUGAUGCCCUCUGUUGGCUUCCAUUGGCACAGGCACACAUACUUAUAUAGACCUACACACACAUAAG